AUUGAACGCUGGCGGCAUGCCUUACACAUGCAAGUCGAACGGUAACGGGCCUUCGGGUGCCGACGAGUGGCGAACGGGUGAGUAAUACAUCGGAACGUGCCCGAUCGUGGGGGAUAACGAGGCGAAAGCUUUGCUAAUACCGCAUACGAUCUACGGAUGAAAGCAGGGGACCGCAAGGCCUUGCGCGGGCGGAGCGGCCGAUGGCGGAUUAGGUAGUUGGUGGGAUAAAAGCUUACCAAGCCGACGAUCUGUAGCUGGUCUGAGAGGAUGAUCAGCCACACUGGGACUGAGACACGGCCCAGACUCCUACGGGAGGCAGCAGUGGGGAAUUGUGGACAAUGGGCGCAAGCCUGAUCCAGCCAUGCCGCGUGCAGGAUGAAGGCCUUCGGGUUGUAAACUGCUUUUGUACGGAACGAAAAGCCUUCUUUUAAUACAGGAGGGUCAUGACGGUACCGUAAGAAUAAGCACCGGCUAACUACGUG
rnacentral:rRNA from 1 species